AUUCUUUUCUCUAGACUGCUCAGAGGUGAUCCAUGUGCCUGGGUCAGAAAGGCCAUUCAAACUGCCAGAAUAUAAAAAUGAAACAGGAAAAGCAUAUUCCAGGAUUACUUUUUCAUUUGCAUAGAAAGACACUUUAAAGGAGUGGAUGAUACGUCAGACUCUGAUUCUGAGAUUGUCAUCACAUCAAGGAGCACAGGUUUUUGAACCACAAAACCAAAGUACUCCCCAACACAAACCUGAUGAUGAAAG